rnacentral:rRNA from 1 species
GACGAACGCUGGCGGCGUGCCUAAUACAUGCAAGUAGAACGCACAGUUUAUACCGUAGCUUGCUACACCAUAAACUGUGAGUUGCGAACGGGUGAGUAACGCGUAGGUAACCUGCCUGGUAGCGGGGGAUAACUAUUGGAAACGAUAGCUAAUACCGCAUAAUAUUGAUUAUUGCAUGAUAAUUGAUUGAAAGAUGCUAUUGCAUCACUACCAGAUGGACCUGCGUUGUAUUAGCUAGUAGGUGAGGUAACGGCUCACCUAGGCGACGAUACAUAGCCGACCUGGGAGGGUGAUCGACCACACUGGGACUGGGACACGGCCCAGACUCCUACGGGAGGCAGCAGUAGGGAAUCUUCGGCAAUGGACGAAAGUCUGACCGAGCAACGCCGCGUGAGUGAAGGAGGUUUUCGGAUCGUAAAGCUCUGUUGUAAGAGAAGAACGGGUGUGAGAGUGGAAAGUUCACACUGUGACGGUAUCUUACCAGAAAGGGACGGCUAACUACGUG